AGAUUGGAGGGCAAUCUGGUGUGACAAUUAUCACCGUACUCAUUGCCAGGGUUGAUUUGNCUAAUUUGGUUGACUAGGUAGAUACCCCUUCCUCCCUCAUCACUCCAUAAGCAUCCCAUCUGAAACUGCAGCCAGUUGAAGGACCUGGCCAUAGAGGAGAACUCAUUGUUAGUCAUGAGUAUAUGAGUAGCUUCAAUCCUCUGCCAGAACUUCAAAACAAUAUAGUAAGAAAAUAUCUAAAAUCUUUCUGCCUCNUCUUUCACUUUGAUCCUUGAACCUUCAGGGAU
rnacentral:snRNA from 1 species